GCCUGAAGGAAUGUAUAUGGAGAAGCAUCAAUAGGUUGCAAUUGAUGAUACAUUGUUGUAAGAGGCAGAGGAUGUCUUGAAGCAUCCAUAUUCACAAUAACAUAAUCUGAUUGAGGCCAUCGACCACCUUCAACAAGAACAAAAGGAACCGUUCGCAAUGAGAUUGAUUCUUGUUCUCUCCAAGAUCUGCCAAAGAUAGCUCGUAGAUCAGAAGUCCAUCCAAAGAAGCCCUUCCAUUCAUUGUAUAUACAAGUUUGAAUUCUCUGUACAAUAACAGCCUUAUCACCAGAUUCAUGCGCGACCAACACAUUAGACCUCCAGUUGCCAUCGAUGGCAGAUUUGGCCUCUACCUGUCCGCGUACAAUCACGAGCUUCUGAUUUUGGUCUUGGUCAAGAUUCUGGUUUUGGUUUUCAUCGGACGGCUGGGGAAGGUCAAGGAUGGAGCGGAGAUCGGAGACUCUAAGGGUAGGAGCCUUGCGAAUUUUACGAAGGGCUUUGGAAUUAGAUGUAAACUUCAGGAAGGAACGGACGGCGGCAUACGCAAGUGCUACGCCGAGAAUCGCUCCGUCGAAGGAUAGGGCAAGUUGGGAGACUAAAGAGGCCAGGGCUUGCUCGUGUGAAGACAUUUUCUUUUUUGGAAUUUUAUUUUACUUAUAUCACAUUUAGUGGUGGCGCACGUCAGGGGCACGGUGGCCGUCAAGGUGAUAG
rnacentral:misc_RNA from 1 species